rnacentral:rRNA from 1 species
GACGAACGCUGGCGGCGUGCUUAACACAUGCAGGUCGAACGGAAAGGCCCUGCUUGCAGGGUACUCGAGUGGCGAACGGGUGAGUAACACGUGGGUGAUCUGCCCUGCACUUCGGGAUAAGCCUGGGAAACUGGGUCUAAUACCGGAUAGGAGCCAUUUUUAGUGUGAUGGUUGGAAAGUUUUUUCGGUGUAGGAUGAGCUCGCGGCCUAUCAGCUUGUUGGGGGGGUAAUGGCCUACCAAGGCGGCGACGGGUAGCCGGCCUGAGAGGGUGGACGGCCACAUUGGGACUGAGAUACGGCCCAGACUCCGACGGGAGGCAGCAGUGGGGAAUAUUGCACAAUGGGCGCAAGCCUGAUGCAGCGACGCCGCGUGGGGGAUGACGGCCUUCGGGUUGUAAACUCCUUUCGCUAGGGACGAAGCUUUUUGUGACGGUACCUAGAUAAGAAGCACCGGCUAACUACGUG